GGGUGGAGAAGGGUAACUUUAUAAUUUUGCAUAAGUUGCAGAAUAACGAGCACUCGGCAAUGUAUCAUACUCGCCCCCCUAAUUACCAACCGGAUUACUUGCGGGAUGAACCAAAUAUAGUAAUAUGAAAAGAUUCCUACAAGAUACUCUGUAAUUUUGGCAGGAUAAUGUGAACCAAACAAGCCCUAAAUGUAGGUAGUAAAUCGAGAAGCCAUAGGCUGAAGUCUAAAAGUCACUCAGUUCUUUCCCUAGAAAUAAUAAAUGGUGAAUAUUUAUUUGUAAUAAUGGCAAUAGGUCGAUAAAUAACGACUCUUAGGUCUUUCCCAAGCCCCACACUUCCAAAAUAUUGUACUCCAUUUCAAUAAGUUAUAUAAUUUUUCAUUACCCCAAAAGUAUCUCUUUUUCUUGCAACUUAGUUUUAGGACAAAUAGUAGACUAACAAGAGUGAGGAAGACUUGCCCAUCUCUGAGCGGAAAGGCGGGCACAACACAAGCUUUUGCGAGUUAGAAGCAUAAGUCCAUGACAGUUGGUAUCAGAGCCGGUUCGAGGGAAAAACCAUGUCGUUGUCAAAUGCUGUUGGCGUUGAUAAUGUGCCGGAACCCAAACAGACCAAGUAGGAAAGAAGCAAAAAGCCACAGGCACUCGCGAAGGAGGCCACAUCCUCGGAGAACGGAGCGGGCCCUGCAAGAGAAAGUUACAACGAAAGUGAAGAAGCGAUGCUCCGCAUAAGCUCAGACCAUGAGUUUGUGGGAAGAGAGGCUUCGCUUGAUAGAGGAGGAUGUUGUCGCAGCCAUGGCAACAUUCUGCCAUCAUCUGGAGUAUUUCAAGGCAGAUCUUCCACGUCGCAACGACAAGCUAGACGCGCAAGAUGUGUUGCUUCAGGACAUCGGUGCCCAGGUCGAGGUCGCAGGCCUCAAGACGAGAUAGGCACUAACCGAGUGAACCAAAAGCGAUCAUGGCAAGCUACUUAAGGCAAGAGAGGCCAAAAGAGGGGUAGAGCAUCGCAAUAUAAGGGAGAGAAGGGACGCGACGAAGGAUCAAACCCUUUCAGCACUACAGCUACGCGAGGAGGUGGAGCACAGAAGGGUCGAGGUAGUAGUGGUCCUUGAGGAGAAGGAUGAGAGCAAGGAUGACAAGCCUCGAGAGUUCUUGGAGCAGCUUUUACCCAAUUGAGAGUUAGGUAGUUCUGUCAGACGCAAAUCCGAGAAAGAGCCUAAAAGGACAUGCGGGAGUCCCGCAACUCGGUAGCGUGUGCAUGCAUGUUGAGAAGGACAACCACAUUCGACGGGUCGAACAUGCCAACAAACUUAUCCGCACAUACAACUGGCUAGCGAUCAUACUCAAAGAGGAAAGGCACUUGGGGAUGGUGCGGAGGUGGAUGCGGACUAUAGCAGCAGCGCUCGAGAUUUGACGUGUGUGAAGGCACGACGAACUAUGAUCGAGGCUACACGAACGAGAACAUACACUAGCGCAAGACGAAAGCGUCUGCACAAUAGGUGGGGGAGAUUGUCACACGCAUCGUGAAAUCUAUCACCCAUCUACCCUUGAUAGUGACACAAACUCAAAACGCACAAUUUUGGAUCCUUUUAGAAGCUACUAUGGGAACUGAAACAUAAUAGCGUGAAGGGACUGAAGCAUCUCAACCUUGCGAAGCUGAAGUGUCAUGGGUAACUCAAAAGGUUUUCUAAGGAUAAGAACCCAUUUGGUUCGCAUUAUGCAGCAUUAUUGGUUACCUCAGCCUAACUAGUAAUUUCACAUAUGUGAUUAAGAUUACUACUAAUGCUGCAUUACGCCUUUUAGUUCACUGUAGUAAUGUAAUAUCAAAUUACUGUGUACAUAAGAUUAUUUUGUUGGUUAUCUUGUUUGGUUUAUCUGUUUUAUAUAUAUAUAUAUAUAUAUAUAUAUAUAUAUAUAUAUAUAUAUAUAUAUAUAUAUAUAUAUACUCAUGAUAGUAAAAGUUUAUACUUUCUAAAAUACCGUUAAACACAUAAAUUUGAAUGGGAAACUUUAAAUUUAAGUUUAAAAUAAAUUCAGAUUUUAAAUCAAAUUUAAAUAUUUGUUGUUCAAAUUUUAAAUUUCAAUUUUGAUUUGAGUUUGAAUUUUAAAUUCAAAUUUGAUUUUGAAUUCGAAUUUCAAUUGGAUUUUAAAAGUUGAAUUUAAAUUUAAACUUAAUAUUAAAUUUAAAAUCAAAUUUUAGUUUUUGGAUAAUUUCUAUUAUAAACUAAACCUUUUUUUGAAUGUUUCUAAAGGGCUGAUUUUUUAGUUACUUCGACCCAAUAGAAUCUUAAUGAUCAAAUUUUAAUUUCAAAUUUAAUUUUUGAACAGUCCAAGAUUUAUAUUCAAACCAUUCAAAUUCAAAAUUUGAAUUAUAUUUUCAUUUGUGUUCAAAUUUAAAUUCAAAUCAAAAUUUUAAUUCAAAUUUAAAAUUAAAUCAAAAUUUUAAACUUAAUUUUGAAAUACAAAUUCAAAUUUAAAUGGAAUUCAAAUUUUAAAUAGAUAUUCAAAUUAAAAUAUUUAAUUUGAAUGCAGACUUAAAUAUUUAAUUUUAAUUAAAAUAAAACUAAAAAUUAUUUUAGAUUUAAAUUUUCAAGCAAUUGGGGGUGGAGAAGGGUAACUUUAUAAUUUUGCAAUAAGUUGCAGAAAUAACGAGCACUCGCAAUGUAUCAUACUCGCCCCCCUCUAUUACCAACGGAUUACUUGCGGGGGAUGAACCAAAUAUAGUAAUAUGAAAAGAUUCCUACAAGAUACUCUGUAAUUUUGGCAGGAUAAUGUGAACCAAACAAGCCAAAUGUAGGUAAGUAAAUCGAGAAGCCAUAGGCUGAAGUCUAAAAGUCACUCAGUUCUUUCCCUAGAAAUAAUAAAUGGUGAAUAUUUAUUUGUAAUAAUGGCAAUAAGUCUAUAGAUAGUAUGGAGUCUUAGGUCUUUCCUAAGCCCCAAACUCCCAAAAUAUUGUACUCCAUUUUUCAAAGUAAUAUAAUUUUACAUUUCCCCAAAGUAUCUCUUUUUCUUGCAACUUAGUCAUAGGACAAGUAGGUCCGGACUAGCAUCUUUGAGGAGGAAGGCGGGCGCUUGCGAGUUAAAAGCAUAUGUCUGUGACAAGAAGCUCUACUCUACAAAAGAUUUCAUAAAGAAUAUAUACUAAAAGCAAUUAGAAUAUACAAGUGCUAAAAAAAUUAAAUAUUCCAUGCUGAAAUGUGUCGACACAUGUAAACUUGUCAACAACACACAUUGGUAUGAUACAGGACAUUGAAAACUCGACACAUACCAUCCCAUACCAUGCCAACAAGUGCUUGGCAUAAACCCAAGCUACGGCGCUUAAAUCCUUGCUUUCCAACUUAAUCCUUGCUUUCCAACCCAUGCUACGGCACUUAAAUCCUAGCUAUGGUGCCCAAGUAUCUGCACGAAGCACCAGAAAACCAUCUACAAGGGAACCAUGCAAUGGCCUAAAAGGGCUAAUGGCGGGCAGUUCUUACCUUUGUUUUGGGAGAGAUUCCUAGGGGUUGUUUUAGACAUUUAAUUGGGUCAUUAUCCCAAGGUUCCAUUAAUUAGAGAUUUUAUAUCAAAAAUGAUGUCAGCUAACCCUAGAAGCAAAAAAAACAUAAGUAGAACUUUAUCCCUUUGUUCCCUAGCCGACAGAAUUUUGUCAUCAAUUGAACAAUGACCAAAGACUUGCCUUUAAUUGUUUGGCUUUUUUUAGUUUCUUCCAAACCGGGACUCAUACAUGGACAGAAUUUUCAACACUUCUUCAAGUUUUAACAGUCAAAUGUGGCGUAUGUUAUUUUCUUUGACUAAAGCAAUGCGCUAUCACAACUCCACAGAACCAAUCCAUAGUACCGCUUGCCUUUGCCUACCGGUUACCUUGUGUCUAAUGGAAAACGUCAUUCUAGCUAAUUGUAUGAGCACUCCAAAUGCAAAAGAGGAAGGGAAAUGUGAAGCAUCGAGGAAGUGUUUUAAUACAAUAUGUUAAUCCAACAUCCUAGCACUGUGAAUGGGCUGUAAACUCUUGAUGGGAAGGACUUGAAGUUUGAAAGGUAAAAUAAUGCAAUGGGCUUGAAUGUAUAUCAUAAUACUUAAAUACGAGUAUAUAUAUCAUAAUAUUUUUCUAACUCUUUAGAUGAGAACUUCUAUAUGCCGGAUGUUAACCUAUAUAUAUGUUAAUAUGCUAUCAGCAUAGACAAGUCAUCUAAAGACAAUUUCCUAAUCAAAAGAAAAAAAUGAGACUUUAUGAUCCAAAAAUGCUGCUCAUAAUGCUUCCACAUCUUGCUUCAUAAAUUUUGCUUACUCUUGAGAAUUCUGACAUGUCCAAUUUUCUCUGUUUUAAAUUUGAAUCAAAAUAAAUUGGCAUCUUCCUAGAAGGACUACCCCACAGGCCCACAAACAUAAAUUCUCAUCCUAACUUGAAAGCCAUUAAGUGUAGGCAUAUACAUUGCACUUGACACCAAAACAUACUUUAUGAAUGUAUAUGCCCUUUUUAAGCCAAAAACAAUUAAUCUAUAGCUCGCUUCCCAUUUUGACAGAGUUUAUAAAGUAGUAGAAAUUCUGUACCCAAAUGAUAUAUAAUUGUUAAGCAUCAUAUUUUAAAUUUCUCACAAAAUUAGAGUGAACUAACUAAUUGUGAGACCCCAGGUAGUCCUAUAUAUAAGAUAUAAUAGGGCUAAACUCUUAACCCGGCUUAAACAUUUUGGGCGGUGGCUAGGCCCAAGAAGUUAAAAGAGUUAAGUAUGCUAGGACGGGAGUAGUCCUAGGAUGGGUGACUCCCUGGGAAGUUGGGGCGUCACACUAAUCCUAAUUUUGCUAUUUCGUCAUAUUAUUUGACCAACCAAUUGUCAAUUUUUGAAUAUUUCAAAUAUCUGAGAAAAAAUCAGAAUAAUUAAGAAUCCCAAUGUUUGACUUUUUUUUAUAUCUUUUUUUUUUAUUGAUUUCUUUUAUUAUUGUUCCUUUAU
rnacentral:lncRNA from 1 species